GCCUGGGUGGCUCAGUUGGUUAAGCAUCUGACUUCAGCUCAGGUCGUGAUCUCACGGUUCUCAUGGGUUUGAGCCCCAUAUUGGGCU
rnacentral:tRNA from 1 species